AGUAUCUGAAGAAAAGGACGCACAGAGGGGGAAUGAAACCCACGGAACGUUUCUGUUGUUAGUUUCUACUGCGUUCUCCCGGCCGAGGAAGCAAACCGUGGUGUUCCCCAGAGUAGCGGCUGUGCGUCGAGCGCCUCGUGUGCCAGGCGUGUGCCACGUGAAGUGCACGCAUGUGCGUGGUGUCAUCUGACCCCCUGAUGACUCCAGGGACGCUGACGCCGCUGCCCUCCCUGUACAAGCCGAGAUGAGGCAACUUGUCUGGGGUCGCAUGGCCUCGGCUGGACACCUGCCUCACGGCUCACCCUGCCCCCUGACUGGGUCCCAGGGCAACACCUCAGAGGGUUUGAGCAAAGCGUAUUCUGAGCCCCAGGCACCUCAGGACUGCCGUCCUAGGGGGCUGUCCAUCACUUUCACCCUCUACCUGACCUUUCUGCAUUUUCUCCCAUUUCUCCCAUCCCCGUAACAGUCUUACCAACCAGUGUCUUACAUGGGUUAUACAUGAAGAAGCUUGAGAUUUUAUCUUAAUGUAGGUCAGAUAUCACUUUCCCUAGGAAUAUACCGUUUCCUAAAUUAUUUAUAAUUCACAAUCUUCCUUACAAUGUACAGUACCCUGGAUUUAUACAUUUAACUUUGCCCCCUUUCCUACACAAAUCACACAUGCCCUCUCUCUCUAUUCUCUUGUAAGAACUGACAUGACAUUUCAAAGGGCAGCUGUUUACAAAUACCUUUUCUUUGUCUGUAUUAAUCAUUUUUUUGUCAUCUCUGUUUUUGAGUUUCCCUGGUGCUUCUGCAGUUGGCAAAGAGGAAUGGAAGAUGAACAGCUUCCCAGGACAGUCUGCUGCCUUUGAAAAAAGAGAAAAAAAAAGACUUCAGUGGGAAAGUUUUAUUACUGGGAAACGGCUCAGGGAGGCUGAGAGAUCUGCUUCAAG